rnacentral:rRNA from 1 species
GAUGAACGCUGGCGGCGUGCCUAAUACAUGCAAGUCGAGCGAACGGACGAGAAGCUUGCUUUUCUGAUGUUAGCGGCGGACGGGUGAGUAACACGUGGAUAACCUACCUAUAAGACUGGGAUAACUUCGGGAAACCGGAGCUAAUACCGGAUAAUAUUUUGAACCGCAUGGUUCAAAAGUGAAAGACGGUCUUGCUGUCACUUAUAGAUGGAUCCGCGCUGCAUUAGCUAGUUGGUAAGGUAACGGCUUACCAAGGCAACGAUGCAUAGCCGACCUGAGAGGGUGAUCGGCCACACUGGAACGGGAACACGGUCCAGACUCCUGCGGGAGGCAGCAGUAGGGAAUCGUCCGCAGUGGGCGAAAGCCUGACGGAGCAACGCCGCGUGAGUGAUGAAGGUCUUCGGAUCGUAAAACUCUGUUAUUAGGGAAGAACAUAUGUGUAAGUAACUGUGCACAUCUUGACGGUAACUAAUCAGAAAGCCACGGCUAACUACGUG